rnacentral:rRNA from 1 species
UGAUCUAGCCAUGCCGCGUGAGUGAUGAAGGCCUUAGGGUCGUAAAGCUCUUUCGCCAGGGAUGAUAAUGACAGUACCUGGUAAAGAAACCCCGGCUAACUCCGUGCCAGCAGCCGCGGUAAUACGGAGGGGGUUAGCGUUGUUCGGAAUUACUGGGCGUAAAGCGCGCGUAAGCGGAUUAGUCAGUUAGAGGUGAAAUCCCAGGGCUCAACCCUGGAACUGCCUUUAAUACUGCUAGUCUUGAGUUCGAGAGAGGUGAGUGGAAUUCCGAGUGUAGAGGUGAAAUUCAUAUAUAUUCGGAGGAACACCAUUGGCGAAGGCGGCUCACUGGCUCGAUACUGACGCUGAGGUGCUAAAGUGUGGGGAGCAAACAGGAUUAAAUACCCUGGUAGUCCACACCGUAAACGAUGAAUGCCAGUCGUCGGGUAGUAUACUAUUCGGUGACACACCUAACGGAUUAAGCAUUCCGCCUGGGGAGUACGGUCGCAAGAUUAAAACUCAAAGGAAAUUGACGG